UCGAUAACGAACGAGACCUUAACCUGCUAAAUAGCCAGGCCCGCUUCGGCGGGUCGCCGGCUUCUUAGAGGGACUAUCGGCUCAAGCCGAUGGAAGUUUGAGGCAAUAACAGGUCUGUGAUGCCCUUAGAUGUUCUGGGCCGCACGCGCGCUACACUGACAGAGCCAACGAGUUCAUCACCUUGGCCGGAAGGUCUGGGUAAUCUUGUUAAACUCUGUCGUGCUGGGGAUAGGGCAUUGCAAUUAUUGCCCUUCAACGAGGAAUGCCUAGUAAGCGCAUGUCAUCAGCAUGCGUUGAUUACGUCCCUGCCCUUUGUACACACCGCCCGUCGCUAAUACCGAUUGAAUGGAUA
rnacentral:rRNA from 1 species